rnacentral:rRNA from 1 species
CCUACGGGAGGCAGCAGUGGGGAAUAUUGCACAAUGGGCGAAAGCCUGAUGCAGCAACGCCGCGUGAGCGAUGAAGGCUUUCGGGUCGUAAAGUCCUGUUCUCAAGGAAGAUAAUGACGGUAUUUAAGGAGUAAGCCCCGGCUAACUACGUGCCAGCAGCCGCGGUAAUACGUAGGGUGCUAGCGUUACUCGGAAUCACUGGGCGUAAAGAGCGCGUAGGUGGUUUAGUAAGUCAGAGGUGAAAGGCUAGGGCUAAACCUUAGUAAGCCUUUGAAACUGGGGAACUUGAGUAUAGGAGAGGAAGGUGGAAUUCCUGGUGUAGCGGUGAAAUGCGUAGAGAUUAAGAGGAAUACUCGUUGCGAAGGCGACUCGCUAGACUAUAACUGACACUGAGGCGCGAAAGCGUGGGGAGCAAACAGGAUUAGAUACCCUUGUAGUC